rnacentral:rRNA from 1 species
CCUACGGGUGGCUGCAGUCGAGGAUCUUCGGCAAUGGGCGCAAGCCUGACCGAGCGACGCCGCGUGGGCGAUGAAGGCCUUCGGGUUGUAAAGCCCUGUCGUGAGGGGGGAAAACCGACCCCCCUCAGGAGGAAGCACGGGCUAAGUUCGUGCCAGCAGCCGCGGUAAGACGAACCGUGCGAACGUUGUUCGGAAUCACUGGGCUUAAAGGGCGCGUAGGCGGGCCGGCCAGUCGGAGGUGAAAGCCCCCAGCUCAACUGGGGAAGAGCCCCCGA